AAGAGACAGCAGUAGCCACGGUAAUACGGAGGGUGCAAGCGUUAUCCGGAUUUAUUGGGUUUAAAGGGUCCGUAGGCGGAUCUGUAAGUCAGUGGUGAAAUCUCACAGCUUAACUGUGAAACUGCCAUUGAUACUGCAGGUCUUGAGUAAAUUUGAAGUGGCUGGAAUAAGUAGUGUAGCGGUGAAAUGCAUAGAUAUUACUUAGAACACCAAUUGCGAAGGCAGGUCACUAAGAUUUAACUGACGCUGAUGGACGAAAGCGUGGGGAGCGAACAGGAUUAGAUACCCGUGUAGUCCCUGUCUCUUAUAC
rnacentral:rRNA from 1 species